rnacentral:rRNA from 1 species
UACGUAGGGUGCAGGCGUUAAUCGGAAUUACUGGGCGUAAAGCGUGCGCAGGCGGCUCCUUAAGUCAGAUGUGAAAUCCCCGGGCUUAACCUGGGAACUGCGUUUGAAACUGGGGAGCUUGAGUGUGGAAGAGGGGGGUGGAAUUCCAGGUGUAGCAGUGAAAUGCGUAGAGAUCUGGAGGAACACCGAUGGCGAAGGCAGCCCCCUGGGCUAACACUGACGCUCAUGCACGAAAGCGUGGGGAGCAAACAGG